AGAGCGUACGUAGCGUAACAUUUCCAGCUCUCCGCCGUUUGCUUUGCUUUUCAUUUUCAGUCUCAGUUUGGCCGUGCCGUCGUUUGGACGCGUAAAACCGGUAGUCGCGCGCUAGUUAAUCGCAGUCACUAACGGAUCCACGUGUGCGGGUUUGUGUGUGUGUGUGUGUGCACAUAGUUGUUGCAUCUCUUUACUGCUGGCAGCAGCAUAUCACGAGGGCAAUUAUCAACACAAUCAAACAAAAGUAAAACAAAAAAGGGGAAAAAGAAGAAUCUUCCUGAGGAAGAAGUUGAACGGGAAGAAGAUUCAGAAGUGAAGUUGUUGUGUUUUGUUAGAAGUCGUGGCAUCAGAAUAGUUUUGUGGAACGAAAUUUCGUUGCAAGUGAGCGAGAGUUUUGGCGCGUAAUUCGGCGUGCUUCCGGUUGCUGCGUCGACAAAUCGACAGCGAUUCGAUACAAAAGGUUUCAAGAGCUCCAAAAACCAGUACUGGCUUGGCCCAGGCCGUGUGCAACAGUUGGGACCUCCGCGCGGCUUGGCCCCUUUCGUGUGGAAUGUUUUAGUGAGCCUCUUCUGCGCCGUUUAAAGCUGGUGAUGGUGGUAGUGGUGUAGCGAAUUCUCCCGGAAGAUUUUUGCAAAUCAUAAGAAAUAAGUGCUCUGGCGAGACGAGUUCGAGUCCAAGCGCGGAAGAAAUCUAAAUCACGAAUCUCUUGUGGUGUUUGAUGAAGUACAGAUCGAAAAUAGCGAAAAUAAAUAAAACCGAAAAGUUUGUUUGAAGUGAGCUUCACGAAGAGAUAGCUUGGUUGGUCGAUUCUAUGUAGUUGUGAGAUUUUGCAAAAAAAUUAAAAGUGAAGAAGUAGAGAUAACUGCUAAACCAGGUGAAGUGCUCGACGAAGAUCUUGUUGACUUGGUUGUUGAACGAGCGUGUGUUGCAAUUUAAGGUUAGUGGAAAGGAUACUAUUUGGAAGAUUUUUCCGGUGUCAAUUGAAGGUAACUUAAUAAAAAAAUCAAAAGGCAUUUAAAUACAAAUUUAUCAAUCCAUGCAUCACCAACAAUCAUCAUUC